rnacentral:rRNA from 1 species
GACGAACGCUGGCGGCGUGCUUAACACAUGCAAGUCGAACGAUGAAGCCCAGCUUGCUGGGUGGAUUAGUGGCGAACGGGUGAGUAAUACGUGAGUAACCUGCCUUUAACUCUGGGAUAAGCCUUGGAAACGGGGUCUAAUACCGGAUACGACCAACCCUCGCAUGGGGUGUUGGUGGAAAGGGAUUUUGUACUGGUUUUAGAUGGGCUCACGGCCUAUCAGCUUGUUGGUGAGGUAACGGCUCACCAAGGCGACGACGGGUAGCCAGCCUGAGAGGGUGACCGGCCACACUGGGACUGAGACACGGCCCAGACUCCUACGGGAGGCAGCAGUGGGGAAUAUUGCACAAUGGGCGCAAGCCUGAUGCAGCGACGCCGCGUGAGGGAUGACGACCUUCGGGUUGUAAACCUCUUUCAGCAGGGGAGAAGCGAAAGUGACGGUACCUGCAGAAGAAGCGCCGGCUAACUACGUG